UGUUUUUGUCCACAAGCAAUCGGUGUGCUGCCACCACCAGCUGAGAUCGCCUUUGAAUUGAACAAAUACAAAUUUGUUUUUUCAAUUUAAUAGGAACUACGGACUAUUUGGAAAAGUAUAGGUUGAGCGUGCGAAUAUCCUGAAAUUUCCCACAACAUCAUGAGCAUUGGAUUCAUUCGGAACCAAGAGUGAAGUGCCAAUGAGCCUUGAUCAACAUCAACCCGUCAUAUACGAAUCGUGACGUAUACAUUCCGGAAUGCACUGAUGUGCGUAGAAGUCCUAGAAGAUAUUGGGUGAUAAAACCAAAGUAUUUCUGUAUAUGGGCAUAGGUACUGUGAGGCUCGACUCCAUACAACAAGUAAAGUAAAUAGAACAGCGCAAGCAGCGAAAUGAUUGAACUCGUGGAAAACAGAAAGAAAAGGUUCAUGGGGGAAAGCCUCUGCCUAUUGCUGGAUAGUCGUAAAGGAUUUUUUGGACAUAUUAAACCAGCUAAGCUUUGCUUCCGCGAACAUGUAUAUUUAUCGUUACAAACAUAUUGACACAUCUCUCACGAGCAUCUGGAAAAACUGCUGCAGAUUGUUGGCGAGCAUGUGGUUAGCUCCGAGUCCGUACUGGAUGACGACACGAAUAUCGAAAAUUUGAAAAUGACCUUUCGACGGACCAGCGGCGGAUGAGACGAUCUAAACUGCCUGAAAAUGAUCAAAUCUUUGGAAGCUUAUUUUGACUUUAAAGACGAGAAAGGGUUGUUUUCGGAUUUUGUUUGAAACCUCACGUUUCUAAGGAAAUCUCCGCACUUUCUGAGUUAAUGGCUUCAAACCUCUUAAAUCAUACUGAAGCUAUUGAAGUUAUUGCUAGACUUUACAUGCUUAAGAUCAUUACCAACAACAGAAUCGCGGUAAACACAAAAAUUUACUAGAACUACUGCAGGACCGUGUGGAACCCAGCAGUGAAAAGGUAUAACUCUGAAGGUAUAAAAGACGUCGAUGGAAAUAUAAUCGAUGCUCUGUCCAUCCCUUACGUUCCAGCCUGUUUCUCCCAUACCACAACGGGCUGGUGGAACCAUUCUGUCUUAAUCGAGAAUAAAUUAAUCAAUCUGGCGACUGAGGCCGCUUCAGAUAUCGAACUGAAAGCCUAAUUUAUGCCUAGAGACGCUAAGGUAAAAAUACCAGGAUACUAUGAAUACAUCUGCCUGGUGAUUUUGGAUGCCGGUAUCAUGAGCUUCGACGGUGACUAUAAAAUUUGCAGCGGAAUCUCGGCAAAGCGCCAGGGAGAGCAUAACUUUGCAGCGUUGGUCCAUGCCUACCUGCGACGUGCGCCAGCGGAUGGGGUAUGUACGAUUACGGCACAUGAUGCGGUUAUGGCUCUAACAACUGCGAACACUUAUCUCGCAAACGAAGUAGAACUCCAGAAAACGUUUUUGAAGUGUGCUGUUUUGGCGACAAGCAAAUAUAAUGGCUACGGCAUCUUUCCGAGUUGUCCCAAAGAUGAUGAUGACGAUGAAGCAGAGGGGAGAAUGGAGGCAAAGCGUGAUAACAUUUCUCCAACUUAUUCCUUCAACAGUAAAAAGGUCCUUAAAGUGGGCGACCAUGAAAUAUUGGAUUUAGUAAACUUAUCGGCAGAAAGUUUAACCGAGAUUCUGGAGAACCACUAACACUGGCGCACGGAUCCGCUCGGCUACUUUGCCUAUGGAUCUGUCGGUAUCAGCACAGAUGAUUCUCACCGCCCACUUCCGGACAAAAAUAUACUGACAAGUGGUCAAUAUGACCUUAUGUGCGUUCGCCCAUCGGUUAGAAUAAUGAUGGCCUGUGGCGUGUACGAUAAGGGGCCUCUCUACAGAGGCGGUUUUUCGAAUAUUCUCGAUAUUGCCUCGACGUAUGGAAGUUUGUUGCUAGGCCUGACCAACUGGGUAGCGGCCGAGCUGGGAGAAACCAUUUUCAUGCCUAACAACAUGGGGAAUAAAAUUCGGUUUAAUGAUUCUUUUAAGCAA